rnacentral:rRNA from 1 species
CCACCAAGGCAACGAUCAGUAGGGGUUCUGAGAGGAAGGUCCCCCACAUUGGAACUGAGACACGGUCCAAACUCCUACGGGAGGCAGCAGUGAGGAAUAUUGGUCAAUGGACGAGAGUCUGAACCAGCCAAGUAGCGUGCAGGAAGACGGCCCUAUGGGUUGUAAACUGCUUUUAUAAGGGAAUAAAGUGAGAGUCGUGACUCUUUUUGCAUGUACCUUAUGAAUAAGGACCGGCUAAUUCCGUGCCAGCAGCCGCGGUAAUACGGAAGGUCCGGGCGUUAUCCGGAUUUAUUGGGUUUAAAGGGAGCGUAGGCCGGAGAUUAAGCGUGUUGUGAAAUGUAGACGCUCAACGUCUGCACUGCAGCGCGAACUGGUUUCCUUGAGUACGCACAAAGUGGGCGGAAUUCGUGGUGUAGCGGUGAAAUGCUUAGAUAUCACGAAGAACUCCGAUUGCGAAGGCAGCUCACUGGAGCGCAACUGACGCUGAAGCUCGAAAGUGCGGGUAUCGAACAGGAUUAGAUACCCUGGUAGUCCGCACGGUAAACGAUGGAUGCCCGCUGUUGGUCUGAAUAGGUCAGCGGCCAAGCGAAAGCAUUAAGCAUCCCACCUGGGGAGUACGCCGGCAACGGUGAAACUCAAAGGAAUUGACGGGGGCCCGCACAAGCGGAGGAACAUGUGGUUUAAUUCGAUGAUACGCGAGGAACCUUACCCGGGCUUGAAUUGCAGAGGAAGGAUUUGGAGACAAUGACGCCCUUCGGGGCCUCUGUGAAGGUGCUGCAUGGUUGUCGUCAGCUCGUGCCGUGAGGUGUCGGCUUAAGUGCCAUAACGAGCGCAACCCCUCUCCUUAGUUGCCAUCAGGUUAAGCUGGGCACUCUGGGGACACUGCCACCGUAAGGUGUGAGGAAGGUGGGGAUGACGUCAAAUCAGCACGGCCCUUACGUCCGGGGCUACACACGUGUUACAAUGGCAGGUACAGAGAGACGGUCCCUUGCAAAACGGAUCAAAUCCUUAAAGCCUGUCUCAGUUCGGACUGGGGUCUGCAACCCGACCCCACGAAGCUGGAUUCGCUAGUAAUCGCGCAUCAGCCAUGGCGCGGUGAAUACGUUCCCGGGCCUUGUACACACCGCCCGUCAAGCCAUGAAAGCCGGGGGCGCCUAAAGUCCGUGACCGUAAGGAGCGGCCUAGGGCGAAACUGGUAAUUGGGGCUAAGUCGUAACAAGGUA